AUUUUUGAGAGUUUGAUCCUGGCUCAGGAUUAACGCUGGCGGCAUGCCUAAUACAUGCAAGUCGAACGAAAUUUCUUUUAUUAGAAAUUUAGUGGCGAACGGGUGAGUAAUGUAUGUUUAAUCUGCCUCAAAGAGGAGAAUAACUAUUGGAAACGAUAGCUAAUACUCCAUAGCGUAAUAUAAGGCAUCUUAUAUUGCCUAAAGGUGCGUUUGCAUCGCUUUGAGAUGAGAACAUAUCACAUUAGCUAGUUGGUAGGGUAAAAGCCUACCAAGGCAACGAUGUGUAGCCGGACUGAGAGGUUGAACGGCCACAAUGGGACUGAGACACGGCCCAUACUCCUACGGGAGGCAGCAGUAGGGAAUUUUUCACAAUGGACGAAAGUCUGAUGAAGCAAUGCCGCGUGAAGGAAGACAGUUUUCGGAUUGUAAACUUCUGUUAUGAGGGAAGAAUAGUUAAGAUAGGAAAUGAUUUUAAUUUGACGGUACCUUGUUAGAAAGUCACGGCAAACUAUGUGCCAGCAGCCGCGGUAAUACAUAGGUGGCGAGCGUUAUCCGGAUUUAUUGGGCGUAAAGAGUGCACAGGUGGUUUAUUAAGUCAGUUGUUAAAGAUCGAAGCUUAACUUCGAUUCGCAUCUGAAACUAGUAAGCUAGAAUACAGGUGGGGGCAAUGGAAUUCCAUGUGUAGCGGUGGAAUGCAUAAAUAUGUGGAGGAACACCAGUGGCGAAGGCGGUUGCCUGAACUGUAAUUGACACUUAAGCACGAAAGCGUGGGGAGCAAAUAGGAUUAGAUACCCUAGUAGUCCACGCCGUAAACGAUCUAGACUAGUUGUUGCCAUUAAAGGCAGUAACGCAGCUAACGCAUUAAGUCUAGCGCCUGGGUAGUAUGCACGCAAGUGUGAAACUCAAAGGAAUUGACGGGGACCCGCACAAGUGGUGGAGCAUGUGGUUUAAUUCGAUGAUACGCGAAGAACCUUACCUACGUUUGACAUACUUGGCAAAUCCAUAGAGAUAUGGAGGAGGUUAACCAAUGUACAGGUGGUGCAUGGUUGUCGUCAGCUCGUGUCGUGAGAUGUUCGGUUAAGUCCGGUAACGAGCGCAACCCCUUUCUUAUGUUACUAACAAUUAAAGUUGAGGACUCAUGAGAUACUGCCUGGGUAACCAGGAGGAAGGUGGGGAUGACGUCAAAUCAUCAUGCCCCUUAUACGUAGGGCUACACACGUGCUACAAUGGCUAUUACAAAGGGUUGCCAAGCCGCAAGGUGGAGCUAAUCCCAAAAAGAUAGUCUCAGUUCGGAUUGAAGUCUGCAAUUUGACUUUAUGAAGCUGGAAUCACUAGUAAUCGCAGGUCAGCAAUACUGCGGUGAAUGCGUUCUCGGGUCUUGUACACACCGCCCGUCAAACCACGAAAGUCGGUAAUACCUAAAACCGUUGUUCUAACCCAUUUUUUUGGGAGGAAGGCGUCUAGGGUAGGAUUGAUGAUUGGGGUUAAGUCGUAACAAGGUACCCCUACCGGAAGGUGGGGGUGGAUCACCUCCUUU
rfam:Candidatus Hepatoplasma crinochetorum Av, complete genome.